GGAAGAUUUUUGACCGUUCUCAUUGGUUUACUGUUUUCUUGCUUUUUGGGGAAGAAACAAUUUCGUUGGAUUUUAGUUGACAAGGUAGUUAUCUUGGCUUCAGCAUUAUAUAUAAAUAUGCAAAUUAUUUGGAGAGUUAAUGGGCAGGCCAUUUAUCUCUAAUAAAGUUUAGAUGGCUAUGCUUAAAACUGAAUUUGUGUAUCUGAGUGGGAAACAUAGCCUUUUUUCUUUUUUUUUUUCCCUCUUGGUUGACACCUGGUGGAAAUUCAUUCUGGUUGUUCAAGUAGUUGGAAUUUUGUACUAGCUUUGGUAACAGAUACUACUUGGGUUUUUUUGCCACCUAGUGGUAAAAUGGUGAAUUUGCUAAAAUGUCAGCUUCUCAGCUUUAGGGUCAAAUGAUACUUGUGAAGCAUUCAAAUGACAUUGGGCAAGAAAUGGAUUUAAAAGUGCAGUACACAAUGAGGCCUUCAUUACUAAAUUUGUUUUAAACACCUCAGGGCUCGUGAACAAUGGCUAAAUUGUUCAGAAGUUUAAGUAAAAAUUUUCUUGUCGUAAUAUAACUUCUAUCUGGAAAAAUAAGAAUCAGUUUUUUAAAUGAACUAGAAUUGCAUUUAAUCAGAAAGAACCCUAAGAGAUUUACUUGUAGUUUGGAAAAUUGUUUUACCACAUUAAAUGAUUCAUUCAUGGGGCUAUAGGGCAUUAUUCCUUCUCUUAGAAGCUUUUAGGAUAUUGUAAAUUACUGUCUUUAUUACUUACUUUGCUAUUUCUCUUUAUUUUCUCUCUGUGUCUUCAUAAACACUUCCUAAACACCUCUUAAACUAAUUGACAAGUUGCCAGGAAAUUCUUAUCCCCUGUCACUUUUACUUAAGAUUCUGCUCAUUUAUCCUAAUUAUCACCUUUCUUUGAUUUGGAUUUGGUCAUGUAACUAUUUAAGUGUCUAAACUUGAGCUUACUUGCUUCAUUUUGUUUACUUCCUCCUAUUUGUUCAAACUCCGGAAACACCAGAAACAAACAAACAACAAACAAACAACCCUGGCACCUUUAAAUUCCUGUUUGUGUUUUCAGUUUUUUAAAAAUUUAUUUAUGUGAGUAAUAUCUACAUCCAGUAUGGGGCUCAAACUCACAACCAGAGAUCAAGAGUCUCAUGCUCUUCCAACUGAGCCAGCCAGAUGUCCCUUUGUUUUUGUGUCUAAAAGGAAAAAAACCACUUCGACUAAAUUUUGGACUAAAUGUUUUCUCUUGUGGCUUUUGUAACCUCCCCUUUUCAAAACUCCUUGUCUAAAACUCUGCCUUUGAGAUAACUUGAAAUGUUGUACUUUAGGUGUUUUCUUGGUCGUCUGGACUUGUCUUACUGGGCCCUUAUUGUAUUUUGCAUUAAGUUUAAGCUAUUCAUCUUUACCACUAAGGCUCUUUCCUACUGCACUCCAGCCUACGUCUCGUAUGCCUUCUCCUCCUACUCCUCUGCUGACUCUCUAUACUCCUGUCAAGUGCAUCUUCUGUCCCCUUUGUUAGCCUGUCUCGCAGUUGCCAGUGUGCAGUUGCAUGCUGUUUUCUGUGCCCAGAACAACAUCUCACUGCUGUUAACUCCUUUCCCUUCUUCUAACCCCUCUACUAGACUCAGUUGGGCACAACUGAGUAAAAUUCCAAGUAGGCAAAAUAACUAGCUCCCCCUUCCCUUUUUACAACUUCUUCAGAGCUUAAGUAGAAAUCCCUCUUUAUGGUAUUUGUUCCUUGGAUUUUAAAUUCGAUGGCUGUUCCACCUUACUGUACAAAGGAUUAAACUCAAGCUCAAGAACUCUAUCUAAAACUGACAAAUGAUGAUCACUAUCAAGAUAUUUUGUAUUCAUGUGGUAAGUAAAAAUUACUGCCAAGUCUGGAGAUUUUUACAUAAUAUGUCAUAGUGCUCAAUAUUAUUAAAAAAACACCAAGCCAUCUCAACAGAAAGUUUUCAUGUAUGAUUGUAAGAAAAACCACACCAGGAGCCAGACCUAUUCUUAAAAAAAAAAAAAAAAAAAUGAAAUCCAUGUUUAAUCCUUAUUUCAACUAACACUUGAUUGUCUUACGUAGUGUAGAACUAAGGGUGUUUGGUUUUUGUUUUCUUUUUGUUUCAAUUUCAUAUUUCAGGAUUUUGUGACUCUGACUUAACUCUUUAACAUCCUCAAAAUACAAUGACUUUGGCGCAAAGACUGGAGGCAAGAUUUGCUAUGUUAUUAGCAAAAUAAGCUUUUCUGCAAAUGAAGAGGAAGGAGAGAAGAACCUUUUAGAAAGAGUCGCUUGAUAAAUAAGUGGCCAAUGGCAGGGGAAUGAUUGUCAAAUAGAGUCAUGAUCCUAAAAAGGAUAAGUGAUCACUCUAAAUGAAAUGAAGUGUUGGUUGCUGGCUUGGAGACAGCAGUGGCCAAUAGUUAAGAGGACAAAGCCAAUUAAGUGAACUCUUGAAAAAUCACCAAAACUUUGAACAGUGAAACACUUAGAUUGAAAACACUACAAUAUUUGCUGUGGAGAAACAGAACUUUGUGGAUUUAUGAAUGGAAAUGAGAUAUAACAUUCUGGAUUCUUACAAGAGAGCAGAAAGUAUGAGCAAUGAAUUGGUUUCCGAUGUUUGCAACUAUGACCUUAAAUGACAGAACUGGUGAGUAGAAGGCUCAAACUAUACACUCUCAUGGAUGUUACUAUUGGGUUGUAGAGACACACAUUACUGAAAUAAUCCCAUCAAUGAAUCAUAAUUACAAAUGUAGGUAAGUCAAGGAAAGAAUCAUAUUGUUUAGCGUCCAUCACAAACAAAUCUGAUCUAGACUUGGGGAUCAUGGAAGGAUUCUCUGAGAAAGUGAUACUUUAAUAGAUUUGAGUGAGUUACUAGAUCAAGACUGUGUGGGAGCUUGUGGAGCAUGUAAUUGGAGCCUUCUAGAGGAAGCCUCAGGUACCAAGGUCCUGAAGCAGAGGGCAAGAUGGCUGUUCUGACUGGAGCAUGGAGGGUGAGGGGAUCCCCAAUGCUAGCCAAGGUAGGUGAUAUUAGAAGUAAGCAGGUGGUCAAACCAUGUAGGGCCUUAUAGGCCACGUCAAAUACUGGUGAGGCUUUGUCUCCCUCUAGUUCUAGAUAAUACUGAAGAGCCUUUACUCACCCAUGCAACAAGAAUAUAAAACAGAGGACAAUGUGCAUAAAGGACUAUGCUUUGUUUUCUCAUAGAGCAGGACUCAGGGUACGCCCAGCAUCCCUUGCAUGUUGCCUGGAAGGUAUUCCUGGACCACUUGCCUUACCUCAGGAGGUUUCUUGGAAUAAAUUGGAAUUCACGGAUGCGUAUUGGAGCACUGUGAGGCUGGCUUCCAGUUAUUGUUAGGACUGACAUGGCUACAGAAUUUCUCCAAACCUCACAUCUGCAAACUGCAGGGUGUGCAAUACCUUGUACUUGGUGUCCUUAAGUGAUUGGUAGUAUCUCAAUAAGCACAAGAGAGUUAGCAAAUAGGCCCAAUCUCUUCUCUCUGCAGGCUUCACAGACCCAGACUCUAAUGAACCAUGGCAGCGUCAGAGUGCAGCAGCAUUUUACAGAUAAGGGCACCUGACACAAAAAGACCAGGUAACUUUGUCAGAGUUGCAAAAAUCAUUCGAAGAGCCACAACUAAUUGUCAUGUUUUCUGACCUCCAAACCACUUGACGUGUUUUGACACAUAUAUUUUCAAAACAGAUUGACAAAAAUCAUUGUUUAAAUGGCUUAAUUUGAUAAUGCUGGCUGAUGCAUUGUUAUUUGAUAGAAAGUAGAUUUAGCUAUCCAAGAAACACACAGUUGACUUUCUUCCAGAUGCUGCAAGUACAUUUUUAGUAAACUAAUUUAAAAAUCAGUAACAGAAGGCCUAUGAUGAACAUUUUUUUGCUUUUUUUUUUUGUCAUUUUACAUUUGACUAACCUUUUAUAACACCCAAAUGUAUGGGCAUAAUAAGUUGGUGCUGAGGGGAAAACUUUAUUAACUUCUGAGGACCAUAAAGCAGUUAGAAAAUAAGUUAAUAUUCUGAAGUGCAUUAAUUAAUACUUUUGACUACCCUGACCAGUUAAGAUCCUCAGAGACAUAUACCCCAAUUUUGAAUCCAAUUAAAAUGAUCUCCAUUACUAAAUUAACCCAUGUACAUUCAGAUCUUGAUAUAAAAUGACAUAGUCUCAAGACACCAAUUAAUUAAUCAAACAUGCAAAAAUAUGUCAAGAAAAUUAUUAAUCCUUCUAUUCUGAUGUCAGAUCUCAAAGGUCUUCAAACUUCUUGUAUAUUAGAAGUAUUAUAUACUAUGUCAAUUCUUCUUCACUUUAUUUAAAAGAUGACACUGAAAAAACAUUUCACCAUAUGUUUGUUUUAGAUGCAGUGAAAAAAUGUUCUUUUCGAAACAUAUGGUGAUGUAAUUAGGUGUCUCUGAACACAGCAAGGUUGGAAAGAGAAAUGUAUGAACGAAAUUGAAACCAUUUGCUGCUCUGGUGUCACCCCCCACCUUCCCCACCAACAUUAGUAUCUUCUCCGAGUUAUCAUUGUUGUAAUAAAGAAAAAUUUUAAGCACUUGAAGAUGAGGAAUGUCUGCUGUCACCUACCAUGGUUAUAGCAGAUAGAAUUCCAGGACUGCCUCUUCUUCCCUCUCACUGUGCAAAGCUAUGUGACUCAUGCUGUCAGUACCUCUUGCUGAGGAGUUUUGGCAUUAAUCCAGCAUCAUUGACAUUUGUGUAAUGUUUUGCAGCCGGGAGUCUGCUUUUAUCUAUGGCUUAGCUACCUUUAUGCAGCCUCAUGGGAUUUAUUUCUACUAAUGGGGAGAGGCCUUGUGUUUCUUUUUCUUCAAUAAAAAUGUUUGUUUAAAAAUAUUUCUUCCUUUUCUGAGGUACUCAAUGUCUGAAGAAAGAAAAAAGUUUGAAAUUGGGCUCUAUAUGAUAUAAUGAUAAGGACAUUGGUUAUUUAUUAUGAAAAAUUUAAAUUAAAAAAUUCAUGUAACAAUCUGGGUAACAAAACAUCAUGGUUUCAGAUGGUUUUGGGUGUGAACAUGUGUACUGUUUUUUCUUUAUUUUUCCAUCUCAUUAGAAUGUACACAUGUUUACCAGUGUCUUGAGCAGUAGCAUUUGUCACAUUUGAAAUAAGUUCAUGAGUAUAUUUGAAUACUUAACCUUUCAUUUUAGGACAUCAGUGCCUUAUACUUCACUGAUAACCAGAGUCUGGAUUUUUUUCUUAAUUUUCUUUUUUUAUUCUUUAAUGUGCCUGACUGGAAUGAAUAAUAUGUGUUUAUCUUAGGCAUAUGUUGUUUUCAGCCAAAUUCAUUGCUAACUGAUAUGGUAAGUUUCACUAAUUUUAAGUCCUAUUUUUAUAUCAUUUAUAGCGAGUUUUGGUUAACAAGUAAAACUGUCAGCAAACAAAUGUGGAUUGUGCAGCAAUAUACAUAGGGUAUAGAUGUUAUUGAGAGUGAUGACUCAUGAUUGUUCAAUGAAUUAUUUGCCUUGCUUCUUUGGUGAUACUUUCUGUUGGUGAAUAUUGAGGAAAUGAAUCAUUUUGUCUAGCUCUCUCAGCACAGUGACUUCCUAAUAAACUUGUUUUUGUUUUUACCUUGCAUCAGGAGAACAGUACCUCCUGAGGUGAAAUUCCAUAAUGAGCCAAAUCUUCUUCCUUAGUGGUUUGCAAACUUUAGCAGAUACUGUAAUCACCUGGAGGCUUGUUAAAAUACAGAUGGCUGGGCCUUGUCCCCAGAGUUUUUGGUUCAGUAGGUCCGGAAUGGGGCUGCAUCAUUUGCACAUCAAAUGAGCUCCCUGGUGAUGAUAAUGUUUUGGCCUGGGAACCACAUUUUGAGAACCACUCCUACGGAGCAACUGGAGUGCAUGUCCUUUGGUCAAUCAUCUCUGUGUCCCACUGGAGACAGUGCAGUGUUCUACUGUUUGUUGAGACAGGCUUCAAUCAGCUCCAGGUCGUUUCAAUUCUAUUUUGCCACAUAGUUUGGCCACUUACCUUAGUUAACUUGUUCCCUUAACACUGAACUUUUCUUUUAGACCCUCCCACUGCCAACUGGGUCAUCAGAGGUCUUUAUUCUCUCCAUGUGGCAUGGUUGGUAAAAAAACAAAAAACAAAAAAACAAAAACAUAGCUCCCUUUUCUUUAAUAUGCCUGAAGACAGGCACCCCGGUCCUUUUCUCUUUUUGAGUUUUCAAGUAAUCAUUUUGGAAAAAAGAGUUCAAUGAGAUAAAUAAACUGGACAAUUUUCCAAAGUUUGCAAAUUCUCCCAGCAGUAAUCUCUGGUAUAUAGCUCCAAACUUCCUUUAAAGUGGUCGCUGGAAGCCUCAGUGAGACUUUUUCCUGGGUUUUGUUCCGAAGGAUGGGUCUCAGCAAAGGUAAAAUACCCUUCUGAUCUAGCCAUCUGAUGCCUUUCCUUCAUGAGACCUCUUCAAGGAGGAGAAAUAGUACCUCCUUGAUUUAAGUAAAAAAUGUAAAUAUGUAUCUUUGAUGACAUCUUUGUCUGGGCCUUACUUGAAAAUUAGUAUCCAUUUAAUAUUAUGUCUCUGAAGGGCAAUCAGUUAUUUUGUUCUUUGAAAUAAUGUAAUGAGUGGUAAAUAUGACUUUAGAGCUAGUCAGAUUUGGAUUGAGUCUUGGUUUUGUAUUUUAUUAGCUGUGUGACCUUCCAUAUAUCACAUAAACUGGCCGAGCCUUCAUUUCUUCACUUGUAAAUUGGGAAUGAUAAUAACUACCUUGCAUAGGUAUUUACUUGAGACAUACAACUAUAACUUUCUUCUAAAUAGACAAUCUGACAGUCUCAGAUUUGGAUGAGAUCUCAGAUGAACCUUCUCUCUGUUACUGCUUCAGCUAUUAUUUAUUGAGUACUUGCUAUAUGGUGGCCACUGUGCACUCUUUAAUCUACAGCAUGUUGACCCUCUGACUAAACACCUAUGGGGCAGACUACUCACUACUGUAGACCAGUCUCCAGUACCUUUUCAGAUUACUUUUUUUUUUAACUUUGAGAGAGAGAGAGAGAGAGAGAGAGAGAGAGAGAGAAAGAGGCAGAGAGAAAAGGAGAGAGAAAGAGAAUCCCAAGCAGACUCUACACUAUCAGCGCAAACCCGAUGUGGGGCUUGAACUCAUGAACCAUGAGAUCAUCACCUGAGCCAAAGUCAAGAGUCAGAUGCUUAACUGACUGGCCACCCAGGCACCCCUCAGAUUACUUUAAUGGUUAGAAAUUUGUUUCAUAAUUAGUAAAAUCUACAUCUCUAUUAACCUCCACCACUGAACCAUUAUGUAUUAAUCUAGAAAGCAACACAAAGCUUAUGUUGUCAGUAUGUGGCAGUUAUUAUGAGGUAAUUUCCUUUAGAAGUUUGAAAUAAAAUUUAUCCUUUAAGAGUUAAAAUUUAAGAACAACACAAAAGAGGAUAUUUCAGAUAUGUACAUAGCCACCUUAAAAGUGUGAUUGGUUCCAGGCCUACAAACUGGACUCUAUCCAAGAGGUUGCAAACUCAACAGCUCCAGAGAGCUAGACAGUUAAAAACAUACAGACAAAAAAAAACAUCUCAAGUCCUAUAAAAUGUGUAAAUUUUGUAGCACCAUCAAUUGAAGUUAUUAUUUAGCUGGGUGUUGGGUCUAAGUCGCAUUGAUAGCAGGAGUAUACUCUCCUCAGGUAAACUAGAUUACAUUGCCUAUGUAAGAAAAUCAGUCCUUGAUGAUGUUAUGGGUUGAAUUGUGUCCCCACAAAGAUGUUCAAGUCUUUACCCCUAGUAUCCGUGAAUGUGACUUGAUUUGGAAGUAGAGUCUUUGCAGAUGUGAUCAAGUUAAGAUGGAUUACAUUGGGCCCUAAUCAAAUGACCGAUGACCUUAUAAGAAGUUGGAAAUUAGGGCACAGACACAGAACGAUGCCAUGUGAUUAUAGAAGCAGAAAUCGGAGUGAUUUCUAGGAAGACGUAAGAAAGGAUCCUUCCCCAGAACUUUCGGAGAGAGCAUGGCUAUGCUGCUGCCUUAAUUUCUUUUAGCCUCCAGAACUGAGACAAUACAUUUCUGUUGUUUUAAGUCAUCUAAGUUUGUGGUAAUUUGUCAUGGAAACCCUAGGGAACUGAUAUGCUUGGUGUUGGAGGUGGUGUGUAUGCCUUUAGAUAAUUCAGGAGGAAAUGUAUUGCAACUAUUAUGUAUAGAAAGAUUGAUAUGGAAUCAUGGCAUCUACUUUCUUCCUUGUGCUGAUGGGGUCAAAGUCCACUGCUCUUUUCAGAGAAGGCAGAAACUGGAGCAGAGAAAAAUGAGCAUUAAAAUCAGGUGGAAACUGGAGGUAUCAGAGUUCAUGGGGCACAGGAAAGGACAGUAGUGUGGGACUUUUCAUAUUUGGGGAUAGAUAGAAAUUCUUCAGGAGGGUAUUUGAGACCCUGGACCAGAGCGGAGUCCCAAGUUGAGGCUGAGGGUUGAUGAGAAAGUAUAUGAUUCAGAGUUAGAAAGCAAGAUAAUAUCCAAUUGGGACACGUCCCUAAAAGCUUGUCUUCAUUCCCCUCCCUUAAUGUUGUAAGUAUACUUUUUUGUUGGAUAGAGUAUGUCUACUUAGUAAAUUUUGAAUGCAUUUUAGAAAAUGUUCUCAUUAGUCAAUUGCUCAGACCCUCUGUAGAGUUCUAUGUGAACUACCAAAAAUGGUACCUUUUCCUCAAAACACAUGAUUUCCAUCUGGUCAGAUAAAUUUCAUAAUAAAUAUGCAAAUAUAUUAAAUUCACAUGAGAGUCAAUGUUGUCAGGUUAUAUGUGGUCACUCUAUACGGUGCAAUCCAUACAAUGUGUAUAACUGCAUUGUGGUCUUACCUGGCAUGUUCGGAUUACAAGAAUAUCCAGAAAAGAAAGAGGUUGGUCAGCUUACCUGGCAAACAGAAGAGAGUCACUGAAAAAAACAUUAACAUUGUUCAUCCAGUCCUUGUUCUGGGGAGUCAGAUUUGAGGGUUUAUCUGUCCAUACUGUGCCAUGGUCAUAUCACAAAUUGCUGUGGCAUUGGUUAGCAUUUGAUUCAUACUAUAGCUUUUUUAUAUUGAUUACAUGCUCACCUGCUAAUUGUAAUUUGACUUCUAUGACUUGGGCUCACUGGGCAGACGGAGUGACUGGUUCCCUGUGAUUGUGGUCUUUUACUAACUGCCUUAAGUUUGCCGUUGGGUACCAAUGUUUUGUUACUCUCUUGUUGAAGGGUGGAACUACUCUCUGUCUUUUGACCUGCAGGAUUUUGGGGUUGUUGGAAGCAUUCAUUUCCAUGCUGGCUGUUGGACAAGCACUGCUCUCACUUCCUUGUUGUGUGGCCCUCUCUAUGUGGCAGCUCACAACAUGGCCGCUUGCAUCUUGGAAGACAGCAAGGGAAAGAUUCUCCUAUCAGAAUGGCCUUAAUGGGUUUAAAUAAUGUGGUCAUGUGCAUCCCAUUAUAUUUACCAUAUUUUAUUGGUUAGAUGCUUCUAACCAAUAGUUACAAGUUACAGGUCCCACCCACACUCAAGAGGAGGAGAUUUUACAAGGGUGCGAAUACCAAGAAGCAGGGAUCACAGGGCAUGUUUAGAAUUUUCGUGCCAAAAUUAAGUAUAUAUCUGCUCAAGUACAGUUUAUAUUUCCUAGCCUUCCUUGUAGCUAGGGUGGCUCUAAGUUUGGGCCAAUGGGAGGACAGGAGAAAUAAUGGGUGGAAGUUCUGUAAUCUAUUUUAAUAAGGAAUUUUUUUGUCAUCCAUUCUGCUCUGUCUCCCCCUUCCUGCAAGUGACAAUGUAAAUAUGGUGGUGUUGACUCUGUCAAUGAAGAUAACCCUAGGAGGUUUCUGGAGGAGGAACAGCAUGAAAAGAUUGUAUCCCUGGAUAACCUUUUAAGCAGAGCCACUUUGUCGGCCUUGAAAUGCUCAUGUCUGGACUGUUAAAUGAGAGUGGGUAAUCUUUUUCCCCUAAUUAUGUUUCCAGAGCUUGGCUUAGGGCUCAGUCCACCUGCUUGGUGGGUAUUUGUCAUGGCUAUUGGCUCUACCCUUUGGACCUUUGGUUCUGCCCUCCAAGUCAUCCUUGUCUUUUUCCCAAAAAGAAAUUCUGAGUUUGCAAUGAAGCAGCUUUCUCAGCCUGCUUUUUGCAUGUAAUAUAGAGAGUAGUAAAAAGUCCUCUUUUUAUUUAAUAUUUGGUAUUUGUCCUUUUUAGUACAGGUUGGCUGUGGUUCCACCAGAAUAACUCUCUUAAAAACAAUGUGUUUGUGUGUAUUUAAAUGUAUCACUUGGGGCCCCUGGAUGGCUCAGUCAGUUAAGCAUCUGACUCUUGGUUUUGGCUCAGGUCUUGAUCUCAUAGUUCGUGAGUUCAAGACCCAUGUCAGGCUCUGCGCUGACAGCUCGGAGCCUGCUUAGGAUUCUGUCUCUCUCUCUCUCCCUUCCUCUCCCCUACUCAGUCUCUCUCUCUCAAAAUAAAUAACUAAACAUUAAAAAAAAAAUAAAUGUAUCACUUUGUAAUCUUAUUUCUUCAAGCUAAGCACCUCUCUAACUUGGGCUCAGUAUGACACUGCUGUGGGAUGACCAUCCGUAAGAUUCCUAAAGGCUUAUUAUUUUACUGAGAAGAUCCUUAAAAAGCUUCUGGUCUGAUUGGAAGGUUCUGUGAGGUACUAUAUUAGAUCUUUCUAAAAUCCUACCAAAUAAUUUAUCAAGCCUUCAGUUUCAUUUUUAGACACUGUUUUUCUGAUAGUGCACUAGAUUUCAUCUC